UACAGAGGUGGCAAGCGUUGUUCGGAAUUACUGGGCGUAAAGGGCGCGUAGGCGGCCAUCUAAGUCAGACGUGAAAUCCCUCGGCUUAACCGGGGAACUGCGUCUGAUACUGGAUGGCUUGAGUUUGGGAGAGGGAUGCGGAAUUCCAGGUGUAGCGGUGAAAUGCGUAGAUAUCUGGAGGAACACCGGUGGCGAAGGCGGCAUCCUGGACCAACACUGACACUGAGGAGCGAAAGCCAGGGGAGCAAACGGG
rnacentral:rRNA from 1 species